rnacentral:rRNA from 1 species
UACGUAGGUGGCAAGCGUUACCCGGUUUUAUUGGGCGUAAAGCGUCUGUAGGUGGUUUUAUAAGUCUUAUUUCAAAGACUCCGGCUCAACCGGAGGCAGGGGUAGGAUACUGUAAGACUAGAGUGAUAUCGGGGUUACUGGAAUUUUUAGUGUAGGGGUAAAAUCCGUGGAUACUAAAAAGAACACCAAGCGCGAAGGCGGAUAACCAGGUAUUUACUGACACUCAGAGACGAAAGCUAGGGUAGCCAAUCAG